AUACGUACGUACAUACAUACAUCUAACACACACACAUGUGUGUAUAUAUAUAUAUAUAUAUAUAUAUAUAUAUAUAUGACACACACAAAGCAAAAAUAAUUAUAUCUUUUUAAAGAUAUAUAUUUUCUUUUAGGAAACAGUAAUUACUGACAACGCUGUUUGAAAUACUCAAAAAGAUACUACCGUUACAAAACUCCAGUUUCUCAGGGACAGGUUUGGUAUUGCCAGCUAAGAAUCCCAAGGAGGAGACUGAGCUGCUUAAGUCGGAGGGAGCAACAGUAAUGGCCAAGUCGCCUGAGCCUCCUUCACAGUCACAGGAUUCAGAAAAUGGAUACAUCAAUGUGACUUCUCUAAAGGAGACAUACCACACACAAGGGGACCGGAAGCCAAAACUAUGACCUCACGGGAUCUGAAACAAUACUAAUCAUGCCUACUAAGUCAGAGCCUGGGUACAGAGGUGCAAACUGAGCUGGAGACGUCUCACAGAACACCCUGGACAUCAACAAGGAGUCUUCAAAAUCGCUUUUUAAACAGUCAUUAAAAUUUUUCAAAAAUGG
rnacentral:lncRNA from 1 species